rnacentral:tRNA from 1 species
ACCCAGCUACCUCAGUCGGUAGAGCAUGAGACUCUUAAUCUCAGAGUCGUGGGUUCGAGCCCCACGUUGGGCA